UACGUAGGUCCCGAGCGUUGUCCGGAUUUAUUGGGCGUAAAGCGAGCGCAGGCGGUUAGAUAAGUCUGAAGUUAAAGGCUGUGGCUUAACCAUAGUACGCUUUGGAAACUGUUUAACUUGAGUGCAAGAGGGGAGAGUGGAAUUCCAUGUGUAGCGGUGAAAUGCGUAGAUAUAUGGAGGAACACCGGUGGCGAAAGCGGCUCUCUGGCUUGUAACUGACGCUGAGGCUCGAAAGCGUGGGGAGCAAACAGG
rnacentral:ncRNA from 4 species